rnacentral:rRNA from 1 species
UACGGGGGGGGGCAAGCGUUGUUCGGAAUUACUGGGCGUAAAGGGCUCGUAGGUGGCCAACUAAGUCAGACGUGAAAUCCCUCGGCUUAACCGGGGAACUGCGUCUGAUACUGGAUGGCUUGAGUUUGGGAGAGGGACGCGGAAUUCCAGGUGUAGCGGUGAAAUGCGUAGAUAUCUGGAGGAACACCGGUGGCGAAGGCGGCAUCCUGGACCGGCAUUGACGCUGAGGAGCGAAAGCUAGGGGAGCAAACGGG